AGGAAAAAUACACCCACUUGCUUGACUCCCUCAGUCAUCUCCACACGGACGACACGAGGGAAACAAGUGAAACCACCGAAACGGAGACCUCUCGGUCACAUUUCCCAGACACUGAGCACCUCGGGCUCCUCACCACCCGCUCCCAUUCCUGCACACGGAUGCAUUCCUUUCAAAGGUGAAGGAAAGAAAAUUCACUUAAUGCCAUGCGGAAGAAUAUUUUCUGUUUCCAUUCUCUUUGGUGAUGAAGAAAUAACUGAAAACACAGAGCUUAUCUUAAGGUAAACACUUGCUGACACCUGGAGGGAGAUAGCUUACAAAGGGAUUUACAACUGGUUCCUGGAUCACGGAACAUCUGCCAGAACAGCAGACACACCUGGCACUUGAUGAGAUACAAUUAGGACCAGGCCCAGAAAAGAGCCAGAGGUUGGACAGGACCAUGAAUGGUUCCAUGACGUUUCCAUGGGCAGCCCCUGCUGAUGUUAUGAAGAGCUUGCAGGGUCUACCUAACUCUAUCCACAGGAUCAAGAGAGCCUCUGUUUAGUGGCCAUUACCCUGAGUCAGCCUUGGCCUCAUUUUCUCAUCCUCUGCAGUUCCCAGCUGAGUUCACUGCUGACCUUUAGACCCAGGCCUAGCCACUCCUUCUCGCAUGGAGUUCUGGAGCCCAUCCUGACUGAUGCAAGAAGUUAGGUAUUUUACACGCUUGGUCUCUCCCCACAACCUCAUCUCAUGGAGCUGAGAAGCAAGUCUACUCUCUAAAACCUGGAGUCUGGCUCCCUAGUUAUGGCCGCUGUGUGGCCUGCUUAUUCAUUGCCUGGUUCAUUUGGUUUCCAGGCGGACCUGGGACUCAAUGUUCCUGACGAAUGUAUGGAGAGUGAUCAUGUUGACCUACAAGACUCACCUCUCCUCGCUGCCUGGCCUCCAGGUUUGACCAGUUAGCCUGCCCAGGAUAUCAGUGCUGAACCCGAACACCAACAUUCAGCACAGUUGCUGGAACUGCUUAAAUUUCUAGUCCAGGGUCAGUGACUCCAUACUUUGGGUUUUGGCUUCGAUCUCAAUUCCCUCUCGCUGUGCUCCUUGCCCUCCUCAGAUCUAACUCCCAGUGCCAAGUUUUCUGAAAUUGUGAUUAAAGCAGCUGGGCCUUGUGGGCCUUGUGGGCCUUGUGCCUGCUGUGCUGGGCUGGGACUCUGUCCAGAGCCAGUGCACCACAGCAGGGGCAAACCUAGAGGUGGAUUCACCAUGAAGCUUGCUCAGGACAUGUAAACUUCAGGGCCUCUCACUCACCCAGGCCCCUGUGAAUGCUGAAACUAGUAUUCUAGGUGCAGGAGAGAAAGCCAGGUUGUGAUGAAGAAGAAUUUUUGCUGGCAUAUUGCUCUCAGUGAUCUCAAAUGAAUGGGAUAUGACUCUCCAAGGCUUUAGUAUUUUGCUGUCAUUUCUUUACUCAUUCUAAAUAUUCACUUCCAUACCUAAGUUUGUAUUUGUAAUUUGUGUUCUUAUUUUUAAAGAAGGAUCCCCAAAUUUUAUAAGCUUCAAGCCCCACAAAACCUGGAUCUACCCUUAGGAAGACCCAUGCCCAAGCCCCCUUCUCCAGAGAUCAUGAUUUAGUUGAUCUGGGCAGUAGAUCUCAGCUGGGGUCGAUUUUCUCCCCUAGGGGAUAGAUACUUAGCAGUGUCUGGAAACAUUUUUGGUUAUCACAAUUUGGGGAAGCAAUGGUUGCUAUUGGCAUCUAAUGGGUAAAGGCUAGGAAUGCUGCUAAACAUGUUACAGUGCACAGAAACCCCCCCAAAAAAAGAAUUCUCUGGAUCAAAAUAUCAAUGGUGCCACAGCUGAGUAGCCCUGAUCUAGGAUGGAGCUCUGAGCAUUGGCAUUUUUCAAAAUCUUUCCAAUUAAUUUGGAUAUAUAGCCCAGGUUUAAAAUAACAGCCAGGCGAUAAUAAUAGCUGUUUUAAAUGAAUUAACUCAUUUAGUCUUUGGAAUAAGCUUAUGAGAUAAGUGUUAUUAUUGAUACCAUUUUACAGAUAAGUAAACUGAGGUA